GUAGGUGAACCUGCGGAAGCAUC
rnacentral:rRNA from 1 species